rnacentral:rRNA from 1 species
GACGAACGCUGGCGGCGUGCUUAACACAUGCAAGUCGAACGGAAAGGCCCUGCUUUUGUGGGGUGCUCGAGUGGCGAACGGGUGAGUAACACGUGAGUAACCUGCCCUUGACUUUGGGAUAACUUCAGGAAACUGGGGCUAAUACCGGAUAGGAGCUCCUGCUGCAUGGUGGGGGUUGGAAAGUUUCGGCGGUUGGGGAUGGACUCGCGGCUUAUCAGCUUGUUGGUGGGGUAGUGGCUUACCAAGGCUUUGACGGGUAGCCGGCCUGAGGGGGUGACCGGCCACAUUGGGACUGAGAUACGGCCCAGACUCUUACGGGAGGCAGCAGUGGGGAAUAUUGCACAAUGGGCGGAAGCCUGAUGCAGCAACGCCGCGUGCGGGAUGACGGCCUUCGGGUUGUAAACCGCUUUCGCCUGUGACGAAGCGUGAGUGACGGUAAUGGGUAAAGAAGCACCGGCUAACUACGUG